GACGAACGCUGGCGGCGUGCUUAACACAUGCAAGUCGAACGAAGAGCGAUGGAAGCUUGCUUCUAUCAAUCUUAGUGGCGAACGGGUGAGUAACGCGUAAUCAACCUGCCCUUCAGAGGGGGACAACAGUUGGAAACGACUGCUAAUACCGCAUACGAUCUAAUCUCGGCAUCGAGGAUAGAUGAAAGGUGGCCUCUACAUGUAAGCUAUCACUGAAGGAGGGGAUUGCGUCUGAUUAGCUAGUUGGGGGGGUAACGGCCCACCAAGGCGAUGAUCAGUAGGCGGUCUGAGAGGAUGGACGGCCACAUUGGGACUGGGACACGGCCCAGACGCCUACGGGAGGCAGCAGUGGGGAAUCUUCCGCAAUGGACGAAAGUCUGACGGAGCAACGCCGCGUGAGUGAUGACGGCCUUCGGGUUGUAAAGCUCUGUUAAUCGGGACGAAAGGCCUUCUUGCGAAUAGUGAGAAGGAUUGACGGUACCGGAAUAGAAAGCCACGGCUAACUACGUG
rnacentral:rRNA from 1 species